CACGUAGGGGGCGAGCGUUGUCCGGAUUUAUUGGGCGUAAAGAGCGCGUAGGCGGUCCGAUAAGUCGGCUGUGAAAGUCCAGGGCUCAACCCUGGAAAGCCGGCCGAUACUGUCGGACUAGAGUCCGGAAGAGGCAAGUGGAAUUCCCGGUGUAGCGGUGAAAUGCGCAGAUAUCGGGAGGAACACCAAUUGCGAAGGCGGCUCACUGGCCCGGUACUGACGCUGAGGUGCGAAAGCGUGGGGAGCAAACAGG
rnacentral:rRNA from 1 species